ensembl:lncRNA
AGAACACUGCUAACCCAGAAGAACAUUAAGGUGAAGACCACUGCUAACACAGAAGAACAUUAAGGUAAAGACCACUGCUAACCCAGAAGAACAUUAAGCCUCGUCUGAAUUUUGCUAAAACACACCUUGAUGAUCCUCAAACCUUUUGGGAGAAUGUUCUGUGGAUUGAUGAGUCGAAAGUGGAACUGUUUGGAAGACAGGAGUCCCGUUACAUCUGACGUAAACCAAACACAGAAUUCCACAAAAAGAUCAUCGUACCUACGGUUAAGUAUGGUGGUGGCAGUGUGAUGGUGUGGGGAUGCUCUGCUGCUUCAGGGCCUGGGCAACUUGCAAUAAUUGAGGGAAACAUGAAUUCUGCUCUCUACCAGAAAACCCAAAAGGACAAAAAUCUUUACAUGUAAACAGCCAGCAUCUUGAUCCUGUAGUUUUUAAGGAGUUUCCUAAUGAGCUGAAUAAUGUCCCAAGAACAUACUCAAUAUCUUAUCUUAUACAGUAUAAACAUGAAUAUAGAUACACUGAUAUCAAUGGCAAUACUGCAUAUAUUCUGAUGUAUUUCUAGCCAAGGUUAAUCUAGGUCACUGGUUUUCAGGUAAACAAGUAGCAUCUCGAAUCCGUACGUGCCUCGCACAAGCUCCUCUCCAGCUUGUUAAAACAUCAAACUCGAAAAAAAAACUGCACUAACAGGACAAUGUCAGCAACGGCUUCUGAAAUAAUGACUUCGACCAAGAGAGCUGAAUUAUUAACGCUCUGCUCCAAAUCCUGUCACUGCUUGCUGGCCAAAAAAUUACGUUAAGCUGAUGGUACAUUACUUUCUGGCUUACAUACAUUUUCAUCAACCACUGUCCAGCACCUUGUUUUUCUUGUCUUUUUUUUUUACCUCCUGAUCGAUGAAAUCCUCUUCGUUUUGUCUGAAUUGUUCAUCCAUUGAGUCGUUUAAACAAACUCGAGCACGCUAAUGAUAUGUGACCCAUUUGAGGGGGUUUUGGAGAUGAGGAGCACAUUGCCUAUGAGCGGAUCUAGAGAGUUCUUAUGUUGUAUUUUCGCGUUUGGAAAUUUUCCUGAAUUUUCGAUCGGCUCCAAAAUUCUUGGUACACCUCAAGAGAUUGGCUAAAGGUAAAAGUACACACUGUAUAAAAUGGACAAUACUCACACUUAUGAAUACAAGCCUGGAGCAGAUACACGUUUGCCCGAAACAAGACAACCUGAUCCCUAUGAAUCUUUUAAUAAGAUAUUG